UACGGAGGGGGCAAGCGUUGUUCGGAAUUACUGGGCGUAAAGGGCGCGCAGGCGGCUGCUCAAGUCAGGCGUGAAAGGCCUGGGCUCAACCCGGGAAUUGCGCUUGAGACUGGGCUGGCUUGAGUGCGGGAGAGGAUGGUGGAAUUCCCAGUGUAGAGGUGAAAUUCGUAGAUAUUGGGAAGAACACCGGUGGCGAAGACGGCCAUCUGGACCGCAACUGACGCUGAGGCGCGAAAGCGUGGGGAGCAAACAGG
rnacentral:rRNA from 1 species